rnacentral:rRNA from 1 species
UACGUAGGAGGCAAGCGUUUGUCCGGAAUUACUGGGCGUAAAGCGCGUGUAGGUGGUGGGACAAGUCUGCUGUGAAAGCGCCUGGCUUAACCGGGCGAGGUCGGCGGAAACUGUUCGACUAGAGGACGGUAGAGGGGGUGGAAUUCCCGGUGUAGUGGUGAAAUGCGUAGAGAUCGGGAGGAACACCUGUGGCGAAGGCGGCCCCCUGGGCCGGCCCUGACACUGAGACGCGAAGGCGUGGGGAGCGAACGGGG